UACGUAGGGUGCAAGCGUUAAUCGGAAUUACUGGGCGUAAAGCGUGCGCAGGCGGUUGUGCAAGACCGAUGUGAAAUCCCCGGGCUUAACCUGGGAACUGCAUUGGUGACUGCACGGCUAGAGUGUGUCAGAGGGGGGUAGAAUUCCACGUGUAGCAGUGAAAUGCGUAGAGAUGUGGAGGAAUACCGAUGGCGAAGGCAGCCCCCUGGGAUAACACUGACGCUCAUGCACGAAAGCGUGGGGAGCAAACAGGAUUAGAAACCCCAGUAGUCC
rnacentral:rRNA from 1 species